rnacentral:rRNA from 1 species
UACGUAGGGGGCAAGCGUUGUCCGGAAUCAUUGGGCGUAAAGAGCGCGUAGGCGGCUCGAUCAGUCCGCUGUGAAAGUCCAGGGCUCAACCCUGGAAAGCCGGUGGAUACUGUCGGGCUAGAGUACGGAAGAGGCGAGUGGAAUUCCUGGUGUAGCGGUGAAAUGCGCAGAUAUCAGGAAGAACACCCGUGGCUAAGGCGGCUCUCUAGUACGGUACUGACGCUGAGACGCGAAAGCGUGGGGAGCGAACAGG